rnacentral:rRNA from 1 species
UACGAAGGGGGCUAGCGUUGUUCGGAUUUACUGGGCGUAAAGGGUGCGUAGGCGGAUUUUUAAGUCAGGGGUGAAAUCCCAAGGCUCAACCUUGGAACUGCCUUUGAUACUGGGAAUCUUGAGUCCGGGAGAGGUGAGUGGAACUGCGAGUGUAGAGGUGAAAUUCGUAGAUAUUCGCAAGAACACCAGUGGCGAAGGCGGCUCACUGGCCCGGUACUGACGCUGAGGCACGAAAGCGUGGGGAGCAAACAGG